rnacentral:rRNA from 1 species
GAUGAACGCUGGCGGCGUGCCUAAUACAUGCAAGUCGAGCGAACAGACGAGGAGCUUGCUCCUCUGACGUUAGCGGCGGACGGGUGAGUAACACGUGGAUAACCUACCUAUAAGACUGGGAUAACUUCGGGAAACCGGAGCUAAUACCGGAUCAUAUAUUGAACCGCAUGGUUCAAUAGUGAAAGACGGUUUUGCUGUCACUUAUAGAUGGAUCCGCGCCGCAUUAGCUAGUUGGUAAGGUAACGGCUUACCAAGGCGACGAUGCGUAGCCGACCUGAGAGGGUGAUCGGCCACACUGGAACUGAGACACGGUCCAGACUCCUACGGGAGGCAGCAGUAGGGAAUCUUCCGCAAUGGGCGAAAGCCUGACGGAGCAACGCCGCGUGAGUGAUGAAGGUCUUCGGAUCGUAAAACUCUGUUAUUAGGGAAGAACAAAUGUGUAAUUAACUAUGCACGUCUUGACGGUACCUAAACAGAAAGCCACGGCUAACUACGUG